UACGUAGGGUGCAAGCGUUAAUCGGAAUUACUGGGCGUAAAGCGUGCGCAGGCGGUUAUGCAAGACAGAGGUGAAAUCCCCGGGCUCAACCUGGGAACUGCCUUUGUGACUGCAUAGCUAGAGUACGGUAGAGGGGGAUGGAAUUCCGCGUGUAGCAGUGAAAUGCGUAGAUAUGCGGAGGAACACCGAUGGCGAAGGCAAUCCCCUGGACCUGUACUGACGCUCAUGCACGAAAGCGUGGGGAGCAAACG
rnacentral:rRNA from 1 species